AUCAAAUACAUGCAUAAGAUGUUCACUUAGUAUUUGUUACUAAUUGGGAAGAAUGAGAUGUUCUAGAAUUAGAAGACCUAGGGCUGCUAGGGCUAACAUAACAAAAAUGCUACAGCCUGGGUGGCUUAAACAACAGAAAUUUAUUCCUGCACAAUGCUGGAGGCUAGGUUGAAGGUGUUGACAGGAUUGGUUUCUUCUGCAUUCUCUCUCCUUGGCUUGUAGAUGGCCGCCUUCCUCCUGGGUCUCCUUAUCAUCUUCUCUCUGUGUGUAUCUGUAUCCAGAUCUCCUCUCCUCAGAGACACUACUGCAGUUACGCUUCCACGGUUAUUCCUGAAGUCCUGUUUGAACAGCAAAAAAAAAAAAAAAAAAAAGGAAGAAAAAAUCAGAAGCAGCUCAAGUGUGCAACAGGGCACUGGCCACAGGAAUGGUGGUGAAAAAGACUGCAGUCCUGCAGUCUUGCAGUCAGAAAGUCUUGCAGUCAGUCCUGCAGUCAGAAAAAGACUGCAGGACUGCGUCCCGGAGCCCGGCAGCCCCUACGAAGCGCAGCCUCAGCCGAGGAGCUGCAGGCGGCCGUGGAAACCUGGGGCGCCGGGAGGAGUCCGGGGACUGGCGGGAUCUGGGGUCUGCAGUGGGG
rnacentral:lncRNA from 10 species